rnacentral:rRNA from 1 species
AUUCCAGCUCCAAUAGCGUAUAUUAAAGUUGUUGCAGUUAAAAAGCUCGUAGUUGGAUUUGUGGCGGCGCCUGCGGUCCCAAUUGUUUGGGUAUUGUCGGGCGCUGCCAUCCUUGGGUGGAACCUGUGUGGCAUUAGGUUGUCGUGCAGGGGAUGCCCAUCGUUUACUGUGAAAAAAUUAGAGUGUUCAAAGCAGGCUUAUGCCGUUGAAUAUAUUAGCAUGGAAUAAUAAGAUAGGCCUUUGGUACUAUUUUGUUGGUUUGCGCACCAAAGGAAUGAUUAAUAGGGACAGUUGGGGCUCUUCGUAUUCCAUUGUCAGAGGUGAAAUUCUUGGAUUUCUGGAAGACGAACUACUGCGAAAGCAUUGAGCAAGGAUGUUUUC